GAGCCUUUGUCCCUUCCACCUGUGGGGAAACACUAACCUUAUUUUGGCUUCCUCUUAUUAUUUCCCACCAUUAUAUGAUUAUUUAGGCUACUACGUAUAUAUAUAUAUUUAUAUAUUCAUAUAACUUAGUAGAUUGUCUUUGGGAUCUAAAGUGCCGAUCUCUUCCCAAUAAGUGUAUUUGUCAUACGACCAACGUUAAAUUAUGCCCACAUCAAAGCUUCGGCUAGACAAACCCUCAGCUACCCUUUGCAAUUUGUAUAUACUCUCCUCCCCCAACUUCAGAGUUCUUCGUCUGAGGCGCAACCAAGAUGAAUUUAUCGAAAUCCAGCUUCUUCGUUGAGGCGAUCAAAUGACUAAUCCAAAUAAUCGAAUCUUCAAACACCACCUAAAACAUAAAUAUUCUGGUGUGGUCUUCUGAUGUGUUUCUCCACUACUCAUCACUUUUCAAUCUCGUCGGAAAUGUCGGCCUUCCCCAGAUAAACCAGCUGCAUUUCCUCUCUCCAGAUCGUGUCACGGAAUUCAACCCUAAUGUGUGGCACAUUCGUUCUGUGAAUAUCAUUUCCUGCAGGUCCUCUCUUGUAAUAUUCUUUUCCAAUCCAAUGCGACUUCAGAGCAUGAGAGAAACCUGAUUGGUAGACAGAAUUGCGAGCUAUUUCACAUAGGUCACAAGAACUUAGCUUCCAGACCGAAGCAGCUAUGCUAUAUUCUUCAACCAGAGGUUCUUUUGUCAAGUGGAUUUGAAGAGGGUCAUCGGUAGAAAGAGAGACAUUUAG
rnacentral:misc_RNA from 1 species